rnacentral:rRNA from 1 species
UUCGCAAUGCCCGAAAGGGUGACGAAGCGACGCCGCGUGUGGGAAGAAGGCCUUCGGGUUGUAAACCACUGUCGGGAGUUAAGAAAUGUAAGGGUACUAAUAGUGUCCUUGCUUGACUAAGGCUCCGGAGGAAGCCACGGCUAACUCUGUGCCAGCAGCCGCGGUAAUACAGAGGCGGCAAGCGUUGUUCGGAAUUAUUGGGCGUAAAGAGCACGUAGGCGGCUGUGUAAGUCGGUUGUGAAAGCCUUCCGCUCAACGGAAGAACAGCAGCUGAUACUGCAUGGCUUGAGUGCGGGAGGGGAGAGUGGAACUUCUGGUGGAGCGGUGAAAUGCGUAGAUAUCAGAAGGAACGCCGGCGGCGAAAGCGGCUCUCUGGCCCGUAACUGACGCUGAGUGUGCGAAAGCUAGGGGAGCAAACGGGAUUAGAUACCCCGGUAGUCCUAGCCGUAAACGAUGGGCACUAAGUAGAGGGGUUUU